UACAGAGGUCUCGAGCGUUAGGCGGAAUCACUGGGCUUAAAGCGUGUGUAGGUGGAUCGUUAAGUACCUUGUGAAAUCCCACGGCUUAACCGUGGAACUGCUUGGUAUACUGGCGGUCUUGAGCCACUUAGGGGCUACCGGAACAAAUGGUGGAGCGGUGAAAUGCGUAGAUAUCGUCUGGAACGCCAAAGGUGAAGACAGUCUGGCUGGGGACUUGCUGACGCUGAGACACGAAAGCCAGGGGAGCGAACGGG
rnacentral:rRNA from 1 species